UACAGAGGUGGCAAGCGUUGUUCGGAAUUACUGGGCGUAAAGGGCGCGUAGGCGGUUCCGUAAGUCCCGCGUGAAAUCCCCCGGCUCAACUGGGGAACUGCGUGGGAAACUGUGGGGCUUGAGUUCGGGAGAGGGAAGCGGAAUUCCGGGUGUAGCGGUGAAAUGCGUAGAUAUCCGGAGGAACACCGGUGGCGAAGGCGGCUUCCUGGACCGACACUGACGCUGAGGCGCGAAAGCUAGGGGAGCAAACGGG
rnacentral:rRNA from 1 species